rnacentral:rRNA from 1 species
AACGAACGCUGGCGGCAUGCCUAACACAUGCAAGUCGAACGAGACCUUCGGGUCUAGUGGCGCACGGGUGCGUAACGCGUGGGAACCUGCCCUUAGGUUCGGAAUAACUCCCCGAAAGGGGUGCUAAUACCUGAUAAUGUCUUCGGACCAAAGAUUUAUCGCCUUUGGAUGGGCCCGCGUUGGAUUAGCUAGUUGGUAGGGUAAAAGCCUUCCAAGGCGACGAUCCAUAGCUGGUCUGAGAGGAUGAUCAGCCACACUGGGACUGAGACACGGCCCAGACUCCUACGGGAGGCAGCAGUGGGGAAUAUUGGACAAUGGGCGAAAGCCUGAUCCAGCAAUGCCGCGUGAGUGAUGAAGGCCUUAGGGUUGUAAAGCUCUUUUACCCGGGAUGAUAAUGACAGUACCGGGAGAAUAAGCUCCGGCUAACUCCGUG